AAAUGAAUAGACGGGGGCCCGCACAAGCGGAGGAACAUGUGGUUUAAUUCGAUGAUACGCGAGGAACCUUACCCGGGCUCAAACGCAGGGGGAAUAUAUAUGAAAGUAUAUAGCUAGCAAUAGUCACCUGCGAGGUGCUGCAUGGUUGUCGUCAGCUCGUGCCGUGAGGUGUCGGCUUAAGUGCCAUAACGAGCGCAACCCCUAUCGACAGUUACUAACGGGUCAAGCCGAGGACUCUGUCGAGACUGCCGGCGCAAGCCGCGAGGAAGGUGGGGAUGACGUCAAAUCAGCACGGCCCUUACGUCCGGGGCGACACACGUGUUACAAUGGCAGGUACAGAAGGCAGCCAGUCAGCAAUGACGCGCGAAUCCCGAAAACCUGUCUCAGUUCGGAUUGGAGUCUGCAACCCGACUCCAUGAAGCUGGAUUCGCUAGUAAUCGCGCAUCAGCCAUGGCGCGGUGAAUACGUUCCCGGGCCUUGUACACACCGCCCGU
rnacentral:rRNA from 1 species